AUUGAACGCUGGCGGUAUGCCUUACACAUGCAAGUCGAACGGUAGAGGGGAAACCCUUGAGAGUGGCGAACGGGUGAGUAAUACAUCGGAACGUGCCCAGUCGUGGGGGAUAACGUAGCGAAAGCUACGCUAAUACCGCAUACGACCCGAGGGUGAAAGCGGGGGACUCGCAAGGGCCUCGCGCGAUUGGAGCGGCCGAUGGCAGAUUAGGUAGUUGGUGGGGUAAAGGCCCACCAAGCCUGCGGUCUGUAGCUGGUCUGAGAGGACGACCAGCCACACUGGGACUGAGACACGGCCCAGACUCCUACGGGAGGCAGCAGUGGGGAAUUUUGGACAAUGGGCGAAGGCCUGAUCCAGCCAUACCGCGUGCGGGAAGAAGGCCUUCGGGUUGUAAACCGCUUUUGUCAGGGAAGAAAUCUUCUGGGUUAAUACCUCGGGAGGAUGACGGUACCUGAAGAAUAAGCACCGGCUAACUACGUGCCAGCCGCCGCCGUAA
rnacentral:rRNA from 1 species